AUUUAUUAGAGAGAGGCAGAAAUGAUCCUGUGCCUAAAUUUUUUAUUCUUACUUGUACUGUUCAGAGGAGUCCAAUGUCAAGUACAGUUGGUGGAGUCUGGAGGCGACCUGAGAAGACCUGGGGAGUCCCUCCGUCUCUCCUGCCAAGGCUCUGGAUUCAGCUUUAGCGGCUACUACAUGGGCUGGGUGAGACAAGCUCCAGGGAAAGGCCUGGAAUGGGUUGCACACAUCUAUUAUGAUUCCAGUGAAAAGUUCUACUCAGACAAAGUGAAGGGACGCUUCACCAUCUCCAUCGACAAUGCCAAAAGGCAGUUAUAUCUGCAAAUGAACAGUCUCAAACCAGAGGAUACGGCGGUCUAUUACUGUGCGAGAUACACAGUGAGAGGAAGUGACUCUGAAGCCUGUCAAGAACUUUCUCUACUCUAA